rnacentral:lncRNA from 1 species
CCAACCAAAAAUCUCCAUAAAUACCGACAUCCUCAAAAAUCACCUUCCAACGUCCUAAUUAUAAAAAUAAUCAAAUGGCCGGAUUUUAACUUAUUAAUCCGCCAAAAAUACCAAACUUUACAAAUUCCAAAACCUAACCAAAAAUCCUCCAAAAAUUCCUAAAUUCACCUCAAUAAUAUCCCCUUAAUAUUCUACAUCAAAAACCACAAAAUUUCCCAAAACAGCGGCGGCCGGCGACCAACUCCGGCGACCUGCAAAUGCUACCAAAUUUUAACAGAAUCUUCCUCUCAAUCUCCUCUACAACUUUCCUGACUAGCACAAACACCAAUUCCAAGCCUAACUAGGGCAAUCGACUAAAAACAUCAAAAACACCAUAAAACUUCCACCUCAAAUUUCUCCUUACCUAGCUCAAGAGGGAGUGAGCUGCUUGGAGGGGUUGCUGCACGAGAGGAGGGCUACAAAACCGUACCAAGCUUGCCCGGAUUGGUGGCCGGAGGAGGGAGUUCCGGCGACCGGAAGUUCGAGGCAGCCUAUCCUUUCGGGCGGCACCGCUCUCUCACGGCGGCGCUAGGGGGGCUGCUACCGGCCUAGAAUGGAAGUUGGGUUGGAGGCCGUUCGAUUGGGACCGGUGCGGCAGUCUGGGGCGGCCGGACGGCGGCGGUCUGGCGGUCGGAAAUCCGGCAGCGGGAGGGCUCGGGUGCGGGAGCGGGUGAGGAGAGAAAAUCGGGAGGAAAAGAGAAUGGGUUUGGGCCUCACACCCCAAACCGGUCCAUCACCUAUAUACUACCCAAUUCUAAAAUAAAACACCCCGAAAAAAUAAUACCCGAAUAAAAAUUACCUUUUACUAGCAAAAAUUACUAUUUUUACCGUCGUCGUAUUUUCCUCAUACGAAUAAUCCUCCGCACAUAAUCGUCCCCGAAACCCCUCUAGGGACCAAUUAACUAUUAAUUCAAUGAUCGAGACGGUAAAAUUCUUAUUAUAAUCACGCUAGUAAAUAAGGUAAAAAUAUAAGGGUCGGGAUGUGACAAUUCUCCCCUCCUUAUAAAAAUUUCGUCCUCGAAAUUAACAUACAUGUCAUCCGAAGAGAUAGGGAUACUGCUGCAUCAUUUGCUCCUCUGAUUCCCAAGUAGCUUCUUCUACUUGAUGACUUCUCCAAAGCAUCUUGACAAGCGGGAUUGUCUUAUUCCUAAGCACUUGCUCAUUUCGGUCGAGAAUCUGAACCGGUUCCUCUUCAUAGGACAAGUCUCUCGUCAAACUAAUCGGCUGCUCUUGCAGCACAUGAGAAGGAUCGGCAAUAUACUUGCGAAACAUGGAUACAUGAAACACAUUAUGUAUCCUAGCUAACUCUGGAGGCAAGGCUAAUCGAUAAGCAAGUGAGCCAACUCGCUCUAUUAUCUCAUACGGGCCAAUAUACCUCAGGCUAAGCUUCCCACGCUUCCUAAAGCGCACAACCCA